UCUGCAACAGUGCAGCAGUCCCUCAGUGCUACAGUGGAGUGUCAGCCUAGACUGUUGCACUCAAGUCCUGGGGUUCACAGCCUUCUGAUUUAAAGACAAGAUUUAGACUGAUUUAGAGAUCAGCCGAACCAGGGCUGACCUACUGUUCAUUCAUUUUGGCAACUGAUUUAGUUUAUGUCUCAUACUACCCUUCAUAUUUAGUUUUCCAUUUUUGAAUUGGGCCCCCUUGCUAAACCAAGUAAAGGCUUUAAAAAACCCCAGGAGAAAAUGUGAGACUGGAUUAAGAAUGAAAAAUAAAUGGCACGGUAGAUACAGUAUCAGGCUACAGAUCGUGUGGAGCACUGCAGGAUUUUAUCGGCAGACGGGACAGUACUGAGCGGAGUCUUCCAUGGGUUGGCAGUCGGACCCUUAUCUUCUACCAGAAGAAGUGACCUGGCUGCGAGGAAGCUUAUUAAAUUUCCAGCCAAUUUGGUCAGGCAGAAGGAAUGCAUUCAAAAUUUGAUGUGUUAAUCGGCAGAGAGCAAAUGAAGUUGAGCAUUAACAAAUGGCAGGUUGCUGCAUGUUGGAAGAAGGGAUUGGUGAAAAUGGUGAACUGCACAGGGAGCAAAUGACCAUAGGGAAGGGGUCUGGGAACGAUGGUAAGACUUCCCAUGUCCGAUGUCCAGACAGUUGAAGCAGUAAGAAUGUUGGAAUGGAAACUGUCAGUAGAGUACCCAGCACAGAGGCUUCGCUCAGUAUUUUUAAUGUUCCAUUGAGCCGUUCUAUUUACCAUUGCUGUUACCCUUUUGUCUACAAGAAUGAUCAAGUGUAAAGGGAAGAGAUAAAUGGAGCUUAAUUAAGAUCUACAAGCUUAAGGCAAUUACGACCAUUCAGCCUUAUAAAGUAUUUAAUUCAUGGAGAAGGUUGAACCAGACUGUGUUAAGGUCAACUUAAAUGUCAACUUGCAGAUCAUAAAUUUAAAACACUGGCAUUUGGGCUGAGCCGUCAGAUUGGGUAGUGGAACUGGACAUUGGGGAAGUGCAGGAUACAGUUGAAUGCUAGGCUGGGUAAUGUGAAAUAUCAAAAACAAAAACAGAAUUAUCUGGAAAAACUCAGCAGGUCUGGCAGCAUCGGCGGAGAAGAAAAGAGUUGACGUUUUGAGUCCUCAUGACCCUUCAACAGAACUUUUAAUGUGAAAUAUCGGAUGUGUGAGACUGAUGGGCUAAUCUCUUUUAUUAUCCCUGAUAUUCCACACACAGGAGUGUAGCCUGUGGUAACUUCAAACAGAAUAGUUCUUGUGUUCUGUCCAAUGGGCUUUCUCUCUUUCCCCUUUGGGGAGCUUACUGCUUCCCAAGAUUCGGGAGCCCAGAGAGUGUGGUGUGGUGCUACUGGACGAACAGUUGAGAUAACUCCAGCUGCUUACCUGAUACUGAGGAAUGGAAUUAUUACCAAUGAGACUGGGAAAUCUCUGGACUUUAACAUAGUUUUUAAAAAAUGGCCUAAGGUACCUCACAGAAACAUAAGCAAGAAAAUGACAGCCUAAAGCCUGCUCAAAGGACUAGAUUUUACAACAACUUACUCCCUUAACAUACUAAAAUGUCCCAAAGUUGCUUUACAAGAGCAUAAACGAAACUUGACACCCAGACAAAAAGCGAAAUAUUACAAGAGAUGACUAAAAGUUUGGUUGCAGAGUUGGCUUUGAAGAACGUUCUGAAGGAGGGAUGAGAGGCAGGGAUCCUUCAGGAAGCAAUUUCCAGAGCUUAAGGCCUAGCUAUUUGAAGCGUGGCCACCAGUAAUGGGGUGAAGGAAAGGCCUGAGUUGAAGGAAUGCAGAGUGCACUGAGGGUUGUGUGGCUGUAGGGGAUUGCAGAGUUGGUCAUCAAUGGACUCAAACAUGGGAACAAUCAUUUUAAAAAUCGAGAUGUGGCUAGACCGGAAGCUAAUGAAGGUCAGCAGCAGAAGGGCAAGAGCAGAGUUUUGAGAGAGUUAGGAUAGUGGCGGCAAGGCUUUUGAUUAGAUUAAGUGUAGAUAGGGUGGAAGAUGGAUUGGAAGGCUGGCUAGGAGAGAACUGGAACAGUUGAGUCUGGAUGAGGGUUACAGCAGUAAGUGGGCUGAGUUGCACAAAUCUGGCAAAUUGGGUGAUUUGAGGUGAGGAAACUUGCGUAGUAAUGCACUAAACCUCAUCUUUGCCUCUAGGCCAUGUUGUCACCAUUAUGCCAAUAUUUUUGAGUGACUUAUACCAGCACAUGUAGCUUCUGUGCAUACCUAGUAACUGCUUAACCUGGUGGUAAAGGGACCAGCAGAAUCACCCUUAGCUAGGAGCACCCUGAUUGCAUGAUAGAAAUCAACAGGUAGUGGGCAGCUGGAUUUGGUUUUACACGUAUUUAAUGGGUGUAAGAGCAAAGGCAAUACAGAACAAAAAACAUCACGCAAUGAAGACUUGAAUGUGGCUUUGUCCUACGAUUUUGGUAGACAGCUAAUGGCUCCGUUUUAUUCUAGGACUUGGAUAUUCACCCUUGAAAGAAGGCCUCGGCACUAAAUCCUGUUCCUACAAAUAUGAGGUUGCUUUCGCAGUAUUGUGCAAAACCAGCUGGGUUUAAUUCUUGGAAGUUUUUUUCUCGGCAGACCUCUUUCAGCACCAUUGGAGGUCCCAAUCCUGCAGCCUGGCCGAACUCCUCAAGGGCCUUCAUGUUAAACCACAGUCACCACAACUGCAGCCUGUCUGCCUCUCCUAUGAGGCAGCAAGAUGAAAAUUUGAAGCCUGUUCACCUUCAACGCAUUUUCUCAAAUCCGCAGAAGGUUUUGUGAAAUUAAGGUAUUAGCCGAUUGAGUUGGUGCUGUUAGGUUCUGAUAUAAGUCCAGAGGCUGGCUGAUCUCUGGUAAGUAACUCUUCCGAUUCAGUCUUAACUGUAGAUUAACUGAGUGUUAACCUCUCACAACUGGGCAUAAAGCAUCCAAGAGCAACUGUGCGUAUUCCUGAACUCCAGCAAUACUGUAUUUGAGUCUACCCCUCUGUUAAAGCAGGAGUGAGGUCCCAGAUACCAAGGCAGGAGUCAAGACUGUUCUCUCAAAGGGAAGACCUGAAAGCUGAACCUGUAUUUUCUUUCUAGGUGCUGACUGACCGUCCUGCAUUUUCUGUUUCUAGUCCAUGCUGUUACUCUCUAGUCAAUCACCGGGCCAAUAUAUUCCAACUUGUGAGCAGUGCAAGUUAUCGCUUCCUGAACUUGUAGUGAACGUUACAGCCCUCUCUCUUUGUGCAUAAAUUGGGGGAAUGUUCUGGCUGUAGUUCAGACAUUCGCCCCAGUGCACCAUGUAUGUAGAAGUAGUCUUUUGUGAGCUGAAGUCUGUUUAUCUCUGCCAUCUUUGGGUGAGUGUAGCUGAGGUACAACCCUGGCUGGAUUAAAUCGCAGGAUUGCUAUCAUAUUCUUCACCUACUAAGGAUAGCAAGGACCCCAAAGGCUUGUGUACCCGGCUAAAAUGCAGCUAACUUAAACCCAGGCAACAUGGAGAAUUUGACUUGGAGCACUUGCGGAUUGUCCCUUCCUGGCAAGCUCUUGAAGUAGAGUAUCUGCUGGCGUGUCAUUCUGCUGGCUUUAUCCACCCCAUCCUAUGCAGCAUAGUAUUGUUGCUAUAGGAAAGAAAACAGCAGAUGUAACAACAGUUGAUGAAAUGGCUUCGUUUCAACACCACCGAGCAGCUGUGGGACCAACCUGAAAUGAGCACCUCCUCGGCUUGCCCAGCCACCCACUUUACCAGCAGGGAUGCAAGCUGAGCAUCCCAGGAAAUUGAGGCUCUUCAGCUGAGUGCCAGGCAAGAUGCCUGACCAUCAGACCAAUACUCCCCCUGCCCGCUUUCCCACAUGUGCUCGGUAUGGUUAAUAGGUAAAACCUGAUACGGCCCAGGACAAAUUGUAUUUGGUGCAGGUCACAUUGCUGAGCAAGAGAGAGUACCCACCCCACAUAGAUUCUCAUCACUUCCGUGACUCAGUCUGCAAAUGUUAUCGUUUUGGUUGUGGAUUCUCGCCCUUCAGUGUAAUUCACUUCAGCUCUGCCCUUUCAAACCAGAAUCCCGUGCCCAGCAUAAUCACUGGUUAUCUGUAUGAUCUGAUGUGCUUUUGAGAAUUCCUGUACUUCACAGUAUUUUUAAUAAAAUCUAUCUCCA